rnacentral:lncRNA from 1 species
CUUAGCCUUGUUUUUCAUAGCUGCCUUGUCUUCUCCAUUUUUGACUAAAAUUCAACCUCCAACAAUCAAAGUUCAAUCUUUGUCCGCCCCAUUUCAAGCAAAAUAAGAACUUCUCUCAUCCGGUUUUGGUGUGUACAGAUGACCAAGAGACGAUCCUCCCAUUUUUACACUACAAGACUUGUCGGAUCUUUCUGCCUCAGUCGAGAUCUUACCAUUUCGUGCAAGAACUGAGCAAAUCACGUAAAUCCCUGCUACUAUUCCAACGUUCGGUUUCGAACGACUCUUUUGGCCACAAAUUCAAAAUCAAAAUCAAGAAUUCCCUCUAAAGAUGUUUUUUUCACCUAUAAAUACAUCCUAAAGUCAGCCGAGGAGACAUUCUGGAAUCUCGAAAAAAUUAUAUUUAUACUUUCAGUGUUUGGAUUGAUAAAUGAAGACAAAAAAUGCUUAUGUGAUCAUUCUGUUUUUAUAGUAGUAUUGGUUCUUGACCAAUGUGAUAUCAUUAUUUAGCUUACUUUAAUAUUCUGUUUGGGUCUAAUGGUUUAUUAGCAAUGAAUGCUAGCAUACUUGGCUAUCUUCUUGAGUAGAUAAUAUAUGUAGAACUAAGAGAUCCAUAUUUGUCUAAAGAAGUAGUUGCGUCUUCAUUUUUGAGUGGAUGCAGCAUCCAUGAAUGUUCAGAGUGUUGAUA